GCGUUUAAUAUAAUUUAAUCAAUUCGUUUACUCCAGUAAAUUCCUUGUUUUGAAUUUAAUUCAUGUAUAACGGUACAUUUUACAUGAGAUAUAUUGUGAUAUAAUUAACUACAGUUUUCAAAUAAGUAUAAUCAUAUUUAAUGCAAAAUACGUCGAGAAUAAUAUAGUUUAAUUAAGAAGAUUAUACGUUUCGUUUAAGAAUAUCGACAUGUAAAAGUAAAUAUGCUUAUACUUAAAGUUUAAGUAUAUUUUUGGUAUAAAGAUAUGUCAUAAAUAAUUCUUUAUACUUAAUGUAAACUUAUGUUGAAACAUAUUUGAAAAAUAAUAUUGAGGCACCCUAUUUAUUUUAAUUUAUUCAUUUCUCAUUUUUAAUUAUUUAACCCUUAUGUAGAUUUUUCAAAAUUGUGGAAUAUAACUUUGUUUUUUCCCUAUCGACUACUACUGUAGUACAAUUACAUCGGGAUCGAAGUCGGGCUCGAAAAGCAAUUAAUUUAAAAACAACACACCGCGCCGAAAUUCAAUUUUUUGGAAUGUUCCUAGCAGCCAUGUUGAACUUCAUCAUGAUGUUGUAUGGGACAAAGGGGCGAAAGAGAGUUACACGAAAAGAAGAAACAUGAUAAACUUUGGAUGGAAUUUCUGUUUUAACAGAAGGUGAAGACAAUUACGACCCUGUAUAGCGGUAGGAACAAGUUACAAUGUACGAAAUUUUAUCAUGUGUCCUUGAAUGAAUAAUUGCUUCUGCUACUGAUAAUAUUACUGUUCUGGGCACUACACAUAAAAUGCCUGGCAGUAAAAACGUUUGGACAAGCGCUAUUUAAAUUUUGUAAUUAUUAUUUAACACUUUUAAACAUCUCUCAUAAUUAAUAAAGAUGGAUUUUAACCAGAAUUUCCUCGUUUGGGAUUGGUUCCAGAAUUUUAGUGUUCCUCUAUUCAGCAUUUACAGAGUAUGUUGUACAAUGUAAUAAAAUAUAUAUUUAUUUCUUAAUGCAUACUCAAAAUCAUAUUCAGCACUAGCGGAUUGUGCGACUGCCUGAGACGAUUCCCCACAGCGCCGGCUAUGUGGACAGCUUGUGAAAUAGCGGAUUGUGCGACUGCCUGAGGUGAUUCCCCACAGCGCCGGCUAUGUGGACAGCUUGUGAAAAUGGAAUCUAAAUGAUCACAAGAAAUGACAAAAGCAGUAUGAAGAUUAACACAAAGAUAUUGAGCCAGAAAAGUUUGAAGUGCUAUGGGAAUGAUCAACAUUGAACUUGCUGAGCCUUCCUUCUGAAAGUGACUUAACCAGAUAUUUGGCUACCCAGUAUGAGCAUCUUUCUGCUAAAUUGAAUAAAAUGUCGUGGAGGAACACGAAGAAAAGGGAUGCGCAUCUCAACAUAUUCAAGGUCAAGCAGCUUUUUACCUUAUUCAUUGUAUCUUGCUGCUGAAUGAAAGAAUUUUUGUGGAGAAACAGACAAAAGUGCACUUCAACAUGUUCAAGGUCAAGCAGAAAUUAGGAGCUAGAUGUGCUUCUCCAGAGCUGAAAACUUCUUGGCAAGAAGAGAAGAAAAAGCAGGAAGAAGCAGAUUUAAAUAUUGAUUGCGUCUUCAUAGUACAAAAAAUGAUUCUUGUGAUGAUACUAUCUAUGAAAUUAGAAAACUGACGUGGCGUUCUAAUGAUUGUGAGAAAGUCUUCAAUGAACAGGACACCAAAAGUGCCACUCUCAAAUCAAAGCACUCUAAAAGGCAGAGCAUAAGAAGAACUAGGACAAAUAAAGAAUCUAAAAGAGUCAAACCUAUGGAUGUAGUAAUUGAACAGAGAUGGGCUAUUAGAGAUGAAAAAUAUCUGAGUUGCUACUGUUUUGCACAAAUUUGAUGCUUUUUUUAAACUUAUUUUUAAUUGACACAUUCAAUGUUAGAUAAGAAAAAUAUACCUAGUGUUGCAAUUUUUUGACAGUGAAAGUUUUCAAUGAUGCUUGAUUAUAGAUUAAAACUGUUAUGGUUUUUUUUUAUUGUUUAAACAUUUAUUGAUUUAUUGUGUAGUAUGCAAUCACAUACACUUUUAUCUUGAUUUAUAUAUUACAUAUAUGUACAAGUCUGACUUGAAUAUAAGUGCAUGGACAUUAUUGUGGAAAAAAAAGAAGACAAUCAAGGGUAGUCUGAAAAAGUUUUGCUGGCAGUAAGUUGCAGAUCUUGAUACCCAAGUAAGAGAAAGGUGGUGUCUCUGACCGAUCCUUUUGCUGUUGCUUGUGGGCGAGUGAGGCUUCUCUGUCAGUGGCUUAGUGAGUCAUAGAUGUAAAAAAUAGAAUAGGCAAAUGAGGUAGAGACAUUUCUGAGUAAAAAAGGGGUGAAUUGUGAUUUUAAUAAAUAUUUCAAUUAUUAUUGCAAGAGUAAUGAGAAUUGCAAGAGUAAAAUAUUGAUUUGUUUCCUUCCAUUUGAAGUAAGAGAGCUUAUGACGAGAAUCUUUUCCAUUAAAAUGGAAUUGUAAUUAAGGCUUAAAAAAAUUUGUUAAGAUACUUGUACAUAUGUUUAUACAGGACUUUAAUAUGUGCAUGUUUCAGAGCUCAUCCUUGAUAUUUUAAGGCAAAGUUAAAAAUAUCACUAUUAAAAUGUCUGGCAUUCCAAUGUAAAGUUGAUUUAAUGAGGAUAUGUUAAUUAAGUUACAAUCAUCAAGCAAUAUACCUAGCAGUUGGAACAGAAAUGGGCUACAUGUAUUGGAAACAAAUUUAAGCUGCUUUGUGUAGUUGUGAUACUUUUUCCUUAAUUUGAAUUGACAUAACCAAAUGAUAUAAAAGAUUUUUUUUGGUUAUUGUAUUUUUCACAGUGAAUAAUUAGUGCAUGGACAUCUAUUGUGGAAAUACUUGGGGAACAAUAAAAGGGUGGUCUGAAAGAGCUUUGCUGGCAGUAAGUUGCAGAUCUUGAUACCCAAGUAAGAGAAAGGUGGUGUCUCUGACCGAUCCUUUUGCUGUUGCGUGUGGGCGAGUGAGGCUUCUCUGUCAGUGGCUUAGUGUGUCUUAUUAAAUGUACAUGUAAAAAGAAUGGACAACUUUUAUUGGCAACUUUUAUUCUUUUUAUGCAAAGUAUGAUAUAAUAUUUUUGUGGGAAAUUGAAAAGCCAUUUACAACCCAUGCAGCAGUUUUAAUAGGGUCAGUUUCAGUCACAGAUUUUGCAGUCUUUUGGAGUCCAGAAUGACUUCAUUUUUGACCUGUUGUGUUCUGAUUUAAUGCAGAUUUGAAUUUUACACACAAUUCUAUUCUUAAAUUAAAUUAUUUAUAAUUACUUCAGUUUAUUACUUACUACUAGUAUGUAAAAAUUUACUCCAUUAUAAUUGAGCUACAAUCAUGAUUGUAAUUUUUUUAAAUUUUGACAUUUAGGCAUAAAUUUGAAAUAUCUUGUACUUUUUAGAACUCAUUAUUUGUACACCAUUGAGAUAAC